GGCUUAUCGAGAGCAGGUGGAGGGAAGGCCCCGAUGAAACCCGGCAACCCCGGUAUUUUGCCGGAAGGUGCUAAAUGCCGCAGGAAGACCCUGAGAGAUAAGUU
rfam:Moorella glycerini strain NMP genome assembly, contig: M_glycerini_NMP_DRAFT_scaffold-22